rnacentral:lncRNA from 1 species
AGGGGGUGGCUCGGGGGUGGGCCUUCCAUCCAAUGCAGCUCCGUCUUCUCAUCAGCAUUCUCCUCGCGGGGGGGCCCCCAUCCCCAACCAAUACGGGCUCCCCCUCCCCCGACUCCCCUCCCUACUCGCUCACUGCCUGCCUCCCUCCCUUCCUCCUGCCCGCCCUCCUCCCUGCCUCCCUCCCUCCCUCUUCUCUCAACCCCCAACCCUACCCCCCGCGCUCCAGGACCCAGCGCGGGCGGCAGGCAGGCAGGCAGGCGGGCAGGCAGGCGGCGGCCUCAGAGGGAGACUGAGCGGUGGCGGCAGCAGUGGCAGCAGCCAGCGGCGGGAGGCAGGCCCAGCCGGGGACUGGAGCCGGCGGCUUCUCCUCACAGGGGACCAGGAGUCUGUGACCAGGCCCUCCCACUGAGGCCCAGCACCGGGAGCCCCUGGGACACCCCACCCUCCUCCGCCUUUCUCUUUCACCUGCUCCUCUCCAUCCUCCUCUCUCUCCUCCCUUUCUCUCCACUUCAUUUGCCCCCUUCUCGGCCUCUCUGGGUCUCCCAGCUCUCCAUCCUCCCCAGCCCUCCACUCCCGGGCUCUCCUCGCCCCCAGCAUGCUUUUCCCGUGGGGGCUGAGGGCUUGAGGACUCCGGGCCCUUGCCUCAACCAGGGCAGGGCCCAGGCUGUGGCCCCCCCCCCCCCCCUCCCCUCCUUCCUUUCUCCCAGUCCUCCCCUCCCCCGGCCCACCUUCCCCCACCUUCCUCUCCUCCUUUCCUCUCUCCUUCCCCUCCAUUUGCUCCUUCCCCCUCUCCUCUCUCCCCUUCUCUCCUCCAUUUUCUCCUUUCCCCUUCCUCCCCCUCCCUGGCCCGCCCUCUCCUCUUCCACCUGUCCUUCCUCCCUGCUUCUGUGGAGCCACCGUUUUGGAUUAGUUGGGGGCCAUGGAGCACCCUCUCCCCGCCCAGCCCACGCCACCCAGCGCCGGAGCACCUCCCGCUGUCGGUCCUCGGGCCUCGAGGGAGCCCAGCCCUCCGUCCCACCAGGAUCCGUGAGUGUCUGCAGGGCGGGGAUUGGGCUGGGUUCUGGGUCCUGGAAGGCUGGGCCUGGGGCACCACCUCCCGCUCCACCAUCCAUUCCACCACUGUUCUUUCCAUGGGUCCUUCCAUUUCCUUCCACCCUUCCACCCUGGUCCUUCCAUCCCUACUCCCUUCCAUCCUUCUGUCUCCCUUCCCACCUUUCCUUCCACUUUCCUUUCUUCCUUCCC